GUGUUAUAAUGGAAGGAGACUUAAUAAAAUUGAGAAUGGAAAUGGGGAAUGAUAUUAUAAUAAAAUGUAUUCUGUGUCUAUAAUCAACUUGAUAAAAAUAGCAUAUAACCUACACAUACUUUUGAGGAUUACUACUUGACAAAAUGGACAACAACAGAAGGCAGUGGCGGAUCCAGAGGGGGACGUAAAGUGUGUACGCCCCAUCCCCCCCCCCCCCUUUUGCUCGUUUUUUUUUUUUAAAUGAUUAAUCAUACGUAUUAUGUGAACUUUGCCAUUUCCUGUGUACUCUAUUAUUUAAUUUUUAUCCGACAAUUCUUUACUUUAUAUAGAGAUAUUUUUCGCUGGAAUUUACUGAUUGUCAAAGUCAUGUGAUUCGCUAUGGUGGAGUUGACCAGUGCUUCGAAAAACGUCGCUCAGUCAUUUUGAAAUUCAAAUUACAGUAACACAUUGCUUAAGCUGAGGAUUACAAUCAUGACACCUUCAAAGCGACAUAGGAUUGAGCAAGAACGUAUUGACUUCUAUUUCACUAUUCCACCAAACAGGAAGUAAUACUCUAUAGACUAUAACACUCUCAUGAAAAAAGUUCCAUGGCAAUAUUAUUUACAUGGACCUACGAAAACAUGUUUAACCCCAAACGCCAUUGUCAUGAUUGAUAUGGACUAUAUAAAAUUGCUGUUUGGUGUGAACCAAGCUUUGCGUUGAAGACCAAACUACAACUUUUAAUAGUUUACUUUUAUAAAUUGUGACUUGGAUAGACAGUUGUCUUUGGUACUUACAUGUAUAUGAGAUCCAGUAAUAUCUAUCUACAAGAUUGAGAACAC
rnacentral:lncRNA from 1 species